AUGCCCGUCAAAACCUCAUGCUCUUGGAUCCUUAAAGCCAUCCUGGAUCAGAGAGAAGGGAUCGGUCAAAAUAUGCUUUGGAAUUCGAUGCUGCAGCAGGAUAGAUUCAUUGCCAAGUUAAUGUAUAAGGAGAUUUUUAUGAAUCAGCAGGAGGUUCAAUGGAGAAGCUAUUUUAUUCUAAUACCACCAGGCCCAUGGAUCUCUUAA